rnacentral:rRNA from 1 species
GCUGCAACUCGCCUGCACGAAGUCGGAAUUGCUAGUAAUCGUAGGUCAGCAUACUACGGUGAAUACGUUCCCGGGCCUUGUACACACCGCCCGUCACACCAUGGGAGCCGGUAAUACCCGAAGUCAGUAGUCCAACCUCGUGAGGACGCUGCCGAAGGUAGGAUUGGCGACUGGGGUGAAGUCGUAACAAGGUAGC